CAAGCAGCGGAGCGUGUGGUUUAAUUCGAUGCUACACGAAGAACCUUACCUGGGUUUGACAUAGAGGUAGUAGGGAAGCGAAAGCGGACCGACCUUCGGGAGCCUCUACAGGUGUUGCAUGGCUGUCGUCAGCUCGUGUCGUGAGAUGUUCGGUUAAGUCCGCUAACGAGCGCAACCCUCGCUGUGUGUUACAAGUGUCACACGGUACUGCCGAUAUUAAGUCGGAGGAAGGUGGGGAUGACGUCAAGUCAGCAUGACCUUUAUAUCCAGGGCGUACACACACGCUACAAUGGCCAGUACAAUGGGUUGCCAAGCCGCGAGGCGGAGCCAAUCCUAAAAAGCUGGCCUCAGUUCAGAUUGCAGUCUGCAACUCGACUGCAUGAAGUUGGAGUUGCUAGUAACCGCAGGUCAGCAAUACUGCGGUGAAUACGUUCCCGGGGAUU
rnacentral:rRNA from 1 species